rnacentral:lncRNA from 1 species
CUUGGGGUCAUCGAGUUCUUUCAGGGACACAUGCCAUCUUUCCACACACCCCAUUCUGCUUUGACAUUAACCACCAGAAAUUAUUAUAUUGUUGUCUUUAUUAACCAAUGUGCUUGAUUACUAAUUGGGUAAAUUUGUUCGGGAGUAAAGCACCUGGAAGAUUGUCUAACUGUUGUCUAUGAGGGAAACUCUUUAGUGACUCCAUACUCUGAGGGUGUGAGUUGGGGCUGAUUCUAGGCACUUCUUUAAGGAUGGAACAAUUGACUUUCAGAAGGAAACAGGAGAUCAGUAAAUACCAUGUUGUCUAUAUUAACUGUGUAGGCCCAAUGAGCCACUGUGGUUGGUAGGAUCUCUCAAAUGCUGAGUUUUGUGAUCCCAGCAAUUUCCUACUCAAUCAGCUUUCUUUUCUAAGGGUAAGUAAUAUGGAGAGUGCUAAUAUUAGCUCUCUACUGCACAGGAUGUUGGUAAGAAGGAGAUACAAUCAACAAAUAAGAUAAGGGUGACUCAGGAGCCCCUCUUACUUCCUGUGAACUCACCACAGGAAGGGUGUACAACACUCUAGUAUUUACCUUGUGUGCGGCCCAAUUCUACUGUUGGAGUGACUGUGAAGUAUUAAAUGCACUGAAGAUUUCAAUGACCAAAUCAUGGAAUUAAUCGGGAGGCCAGGGAAUCAUGUGAACAUCAUGCAUGUUGAGUAUACAUUUCUCAUGCUGUCAAAUCUCUCCUGGCCGCCACUACACAUUUGUGGGAUAUUUUAGAUCUCAGUGACCUUUGAGGAUGUGGCUGUGAACUUCAUGCAGGAGGAGUGGGCUUUGCUGGAUGCUUCCCAGAAGAACCUUUACAGAGAUGUGAUGCUGGAAGUCCUCAGAAACCUGGCAUCUAUAG